rfam:Anaplasma marginale str. Florida, complete genome.
GGGGUUCUGCGUUGUACGUGUAGGUUGGAAGUUCCUCGAGCCCGUUUUGUUUUUAGAGGGGGCCGUCACUGUCAACACAAAGGAGGUUGUUAUAUGGCACCCACCUUAGCUUUAGUCUCAGGACACUAAUAAAGCAUUGCGGCAAAGGCGGAUCCCCC